AACGAACGCUGGCGGCAUGCCUAACACAUGCAAGUCGAACGAGACCUUCGGGUCUAGUGGCGCACGGGUGCGUAACGCGUGGGAACCUGCCCUUAGGUUCGGAAUAACUCCCCGAAAGGGGUGCUAAUACCGGAUAAUGUCUUCGGACCAAAGAUUUAUCGCCUUUGGAUGGGCCCGCGUUGGAUUAGCUAGUUGGUAGGGUAAAAGCCUACCAAGGCGACGAUCCAUAGCUGGUCUGAGAGGAUGACCAGCCACACUGGGACUGAGACACGGCCCAGACUACUACGGGAGGGAGGAGUGGGGAAUAUUGGACAAUGGGCGAAAGCCUGAUCCAGCAAUGCCGCGUGAGUGAUGAAGGCCUUAGGGUUGUAAAGCUCUUUUACCCGGGAUGAUAAUGACAGUACCGGGAGAAUAAGCUCCGGCUAACUCCGUG
rnacentral:rRNA from 1 species